AUGCCGAACACAGAAGUUAAGCUCCUUAGCGUCGAUGGUAGUCGAACUUACGUUCCGCUAGAGUAGAACGUUGCCAGGCA
rnacentral:rRNA from 1 species